rnacentral:rRNA from 1 species
AGUGGGGAAUUUUGGACAAUGGGCGCAAGCCUGAUCCAGCAAUGCCGCGUGAGUGAAGAAGGCCUUCGGGUUGUAAAGCUCUUUUGUCAGGGAAGAAACGGUGAGGGCUAAUAUCCCUUGCUAAUGACGGUACCUGAAGAAUAAGCACCGGCUAACUACGUGCCAGCAGCCGCGGUAAUACGUAGGGUGCAAGCGUUAAUCGGAAUUACUGGGCGUAAAGCGUGCGCAGGCGGUUUUGUAAGUUUGUCGUGAAAGCCCCGGGCUCAACCUGGGAAUUGCGAUGAAGACUGCAAGGCUUGAAUCUGGCAGAGGGGGGUAGAAUUCCACGUGUAGCAGUGAAAUGCGUAGAGAUGUGGAGGAACACCGAUGGCGAAGGCAGCCCCCUGGGUCAAGAUUGACGCUCAUGCACGAAAGCGUGGGGAGCAAACAGGAUUAGAUACCCUGGUAGUCCACGCCCUAAACGAUGUCUACUAGUUGUCGGGUUUUAAUUAACUUGGUAACGCAGCUAACGCGUGAAGUAGA